UACGUAGGGUGCGAGCGUUAAUCGGAAUUACUGGGCGUAAAGCGUGCGCAGGCGGUUCGUUAAGUCAGAUGUGAAAGCCCCGGGCUCAACCUGGGAACUGCAUUUGAAACUGGCGGGCUUGAGUAUGGCAGAGGGGGGUGGAAUUCCGCGUGUAGCAGUGAAAUGCGUAGAGAUCGGGAGGGACACCAGUGGCGAAGGCGGCUACCUGGACCAGCACUGACACUGAAGCACGAAAGCGUGGGGAGCAAACAGG
rnacentral:rRNA from 1 species